rnacentral:rRNA from 1 species
UACAGAGGGGGCAAGCGUUGUUCGGAAUUACUGGGCGUAAAGGGCGCGUAGGCGGCCUUCUAAGUCGAACGUGAAAUCCCUGGGCUCAACCCAGGAACUGCGUCCGAUACUGGAAGGCUUGAAUCCGGGAGAGGGAUGCGGAAUUCCAGGUGUAGCGGUGAAAUGCGUAGAUAUCUGGAGGAACACCGGUGGCGAAGGCGGCAUCCUGGACCGGUAUUGACGCUGAGGAGCGAAAGCGUGGGGAGCAAACAGG